rnacentral:rRNA from 1 species
ACGGGUGAGUAACACGUAGGUAACCUGCCUAUGAGACUGGGAUAACUAUCGGAAACGAUAGCUAAGACCGGAUAACUGGUUUUCUCGCAUGAGAGAAUCAUGAAACACGGAGCAAUCUGUGGCUUAUAGAUGGGCCUGCGGCGCAUUAGCUAGUUGGUAGGGUAAUGGCCUACCAAGGCGACGAUGCGUAGCCGACCUGAGAGGGUGACCGGCCACACUGGGACUGAGACACGGCCCAGACUCCUACGGGAGGCAGCAGUAGGGAAUCUUCCGCAAUGGACGCAAGUCUGACGGAGCAACGCCGCGUGAGUGAUGAAGGUUUUCGGAUCGUAAAGCUCUGUUGCCCUAGACGAACAGCAUGAGGAGUAACUGCCUUGUGUGUGACGGUAUAGGAGAAGAAAGCCCCGGCUAACUACGUGCCAGCAGCCGCGGUAAUACGUAGGGGGCAAGCGUUGUCCGGAAUUAUUGGGCGUAAAGCGCGCGCAGGCGGUCAAUUAAGUUGGGUGUUUAAGCCCGGGGCUCAACCCCGGAUCGCACUGGAAACUGGGUGACUUGAGUGCAGAAGAGGAGAGUGGAAUUCCACGUGUAGC